AUUGAACGCUGGCGGCAUGCUUUACACAUGCAAGUCGAACGGUAACAGGGAGCUUGCUCCGCUGACGAGUGGCAAACGGGUGAGUAAUAUAUCGGAACGUACCCAGAAGUGGGGGAUAACGUAGCGAAAGUUACGCUAAUACCGCAUACGAUCCACGGAUGAAAGUAGGGGACCUUCGGGCCUUAUGCUUUUGGAGCGGCGGAUAUCUGAUUAGCUAGUUGGUGAGGUAAAGGCUCACCAAGGCGACGAUCAGUAGCUGGUCUGAGAGGACGACCAGCCACACUGGAACUGAGACAAGGUCCAGACUCCUACGGGAGGCAGCAGUGGGGAAUUUUGGACAAUGGGCGCAAGCCUGAUCCAGCAAUGCCGCGUGAGUGAAGAAGGCCUUCGGGUUGUAAAGCUCUUUUGUCAGGGAAGAAACGGGAGUGGCUAAUAUCCAUUCUUAAUGACGGUACCUGAAGAAUAAGCACCGGCUAACUACGUGCCAGCCGCCGCAGUAA
rnacentral:rRNA from 1 species